UCCGUAGGCGGUGUGGUAAGUCGAUAGUGAAAUCUCUGGGCUUAACCCAGAGGCUGCUAACGAAACUGCCAUGCUCGAGUGUGAGAGAGGCGAGUGGAAUUACGGGUGUAGCGGUGAAAUGCGUAGAUAUCCGUAGGAACAUCCGAGGCGAAAGCGGCUCGCUGGAUCACAACUGACGCUGAGGGACGAAAGCUAGGGGAGCAAACAGGAUUAGAUACCCUGGUAGUCCUAGCCCUAAACCAUCAGGACUUGGGGUUUGCCCUGUACGGGGCAGGUCCCGUAGCUAACGCGUUAAGUCCUGCGCCUGGGGAGUACGGUCGCAAGGCUGAA
rnacentral:rRNA from 1 species